rnacentral:rRNA from 1 species
UGAGGAACAUGACCUUCGGCGGGGGAGUAGCCGGCCCAACGGCCGGGUAAUACCGCGUACGACCACUUGGGGACAUCCUCGAGUGGUGAAAGCAGCAAUGCGCCGAUGAAGUGCCUCGCGGCCUAUCAGCUAGUUGGUGGGGUAACGCUCACCAAGGCGACGACGGGUAGCUGGUCUGAGAGGAUGGCCAGCCACAUUGGGACUGAGACACGGCCCAGACUCCGAAACGGGAGCAG